GCCUUACUAGCUCAGUUGGUACAGUGUAUGACUCUUAAUCUCAGGGUUGUGAGUUUAACCCUCAUGUUGGGCA
rnacentral:tRNA from 1 species